rnacentral:misc_RNA from 1 species
UCCGAUUUGUCACCAGCGAGGGUUGCGCUCGUUGCGGGACUUAACCCAACAUCUCACGACACGAGCUGACGACAGCCAUGCAGCACCUCUAUACAGACCUCCGAAGAGGGGCUCUCAUCUCUGAGACUUUCCUGUACAGUUCAAACCCAGGUAAGGUUCUGCGCGUUGCUUCGGAUUAAACCACAUGCUCCACCGCUUGUGCGGGCCCCCGUCAAUUCCUUUGAGUUUCAGUCUUGCGACCGUACUCCCCAGGCGGAGUGCUUAAUGUGUUGACUUCGGCACAGCAGGGGUCGAUACCCGCUACACCAAGCACUCAUCGUUUACAGCGUGGACUAC